UUCUCUGUCUUACACACACAGGGCACAUAAAUAUGAAAUUUCUUUCAAUUGUGCAAGUUUGAAAAGAUGAAAGAUUUAAGGCUUAGUUGUUUUCAUCUUCCAAAUAAGAUAUCUUUUGUUUUUUUUUUUUUUUCCUUCUUAAUAUGACAAAUAAUUUAAUCUUGGAUCAUGUAUUGAGGUCCCAUUGAAAAACUAAAUAUAUGCAGGCAUGGAGUUGAUGGAAAAAGUAGUUAUCUUUCUUUUCAUAUAAUAAGCAUUGUUGUGUAGGAUAUGUUGAAAAACUAAGUAUAUGUUGGCAUUGAUAGUACUCUUGCCGGUCUCAUUUAUUUUGAGGAUCAGAUAAGGUUACUUGAUGCCUUGGAGCUGAGCAGGCUAACUAUGAAGCAAAAUCUCGAUGUCCAGUCUUCAAAUCCCGAUGCCAUCACUUGAUCUUGCUCCAUCUUUGACCUCCUAGCCACUUUUUGCCCAGCCGAUACCCAGUAACUUGAUGUAUCAAACCUAGAAGAUAGUUAUUGUAGUUUUUUCUAUUUUUGUUCGGACAUCUUGUAUGUACAUUUUCAUAUAUUUUAUAAUUAAAUACUUUUUCUUGGUUUA